rnacentral:rRNA from 1 species
ACGAACGCUGGCGGCGUGCCUAACACAUGCAAGUCAACUUGACGGAAGGAGCAAUCUGACCGUAGAGUGGCGCAAGGGUGCGUAACGCGUAAGUAACUUGCCCAAGGUAAGGAAUAACGUCGAGAAAUCGGCGCUAAUACCUCAUAAUGCAGCGGAUCCGCAUGGAUAUGUUGUUAAAGGUUUACCGCCUUGGGAUAGGCUUGCGUCUGAUUAGCUAGUUGGUGUGGUAACGGCACACCAAGGCUACGAUCAGUAACUGGUCUGAGAGGAUGAUCAGUCACACUGGAACUGAGACACGGUCCAGACUCCUACGGGAGGCAGCAGUGAGGAAUAUUGGGCAAUGCUCGAAAGAGUGACCCAGCAACGCCGCGUGGAGGAUGAAGGUAUUCUAUAUCGUAAACUCCUGUGAGAGCAGACGAAAGACAGAUUAUUAAUCUGGAUGACUGUAUGCUCAGAGGAAGCCCCGGCUAACUACGUG